rnacentral:lncRNA from 13 species
UUGCGGUGAGCCAAGAUUGCGCCAUUGCACUCCAGUCUGGGUAAUAAGAGCGAAACUCCAUCUCAAAAGAAAAAAAAAAAAAAAAAAAAAAAAAAAAGAAGAAGUAGGACCACCCUUAUUUAACUUAGGAAAUUUGGUAUUAGCAAAAUCUCUUUGUUCUCUUUGUCUUUCCCUAAGCUCCAGCUGGGAAGGGCCUUACACCAUUCUCUUUUCAACCCCCUUGGCAGUAAAAGUUACAGAUAUUGACUCCUGGAUAUAUCACACUCAAGUCAACACCUGGAAAGCAGAGAGAGAAACCUCUAACAACCCAGAGAAAUGUCCUGGAUACCAAUGUGAAGAAAUAGGAGAACUUAAGCUGAAAAUCCUAAGAGAUAACUUCUAACCCUGCUCCAUCUACAGAGGUGUCACGUCUCCUGCCUGACCCUGGGACCUCAUGCCAGGAGAUAGCUCAGGUAGUCCUUCCUCAUUUUGACCUCUAGUCUCCGUUGGUUGUGCUGGCCUAUGCACAGCCCUUCUUCAGGCCUUCGAUCCUUUGUCAAAGGCAAAGAAAUGGUUAGUUGUUCUCUUGUUCCCUCAUAGUGCCCAUGGGAGACCUCGGGCUGUUGGUGAGCACUAACCCUGCCCCUAACAUUUCUACUCUAUUUCUGUUCUGUCACUAUUAAUGCUAGAGGAACACCAGCAAGUUUGUUACCCACGUUGGUUCAGAGAGGACAGAAGUCUUUCUGAUAUAUCUAAGAGAGCAAGAUGACAGAGUGAAGAAACAGGCCAACUUCCUUGCUGGACUUCCUACUCCCCAAUUCUCUUUUCUCUUCUCAGGUCAUAUGGUCUUUUUCAAAUGGGCGGGAUACAGGGGGAAAUACUAGAGAAGAAUCAGGAAACAACUAACCCUCCAACUAAUUUUACUUUUUUUUGUUCAGUCUUGUACUUAGACCUUACCUGUUCAGUUGAAAUGCUAAGAAUUUGUUCCUUGGUCUAACAUAAUAACUAACUCCAGGACAAAUGGAGUUUUCAAGGUUUAAAUAAUGAAGAGGUGAGCCCAGGGCAAAAAAUAAAAAAGAAAAAGAAAAGAAAAGAAAAGCUCUC